rnacentral:rRNA from 1 species
GCGUAAGCGCACGCAGGCGGUCUGUCAAGUCGGAUGUGAAAUCCCCGGGCUCAACCUGGGAACUGCAUUCGAAACUGGCAGGCUAGAGUCUUGUAGAGGGGGGUAGAAUUCCAGGUGUAGCGGUGAAAUGCGUAGAGAUCUGGAGGAAUACCGGUGGCGAAGGCGGCCCCCUGGACAAAGACUGACGCUCAGGUGCGAAAGCGUGGGGAGCAAACAGGAUUAGAUACCCUGGUAGUCCACGCCGUAAACGAUGUCGACUUGGAGGUUGUGCCCUUGAGGCGUGGCUUCCGGAGCUAACGCGUUAAGUCGACCGCCUGGGGAGUACGGCCGCAAGGUUAAAACUCAAAUGAAUUGACGGGGGCCCGCACAAGCGGUGGAGCAUGUGGUUUAAUUCGAUGCAACGCGAAGAACCUUACCUACUCUUGACAUCCAGAGAACUUAGCAGAGAUGCUUUCGUGCCUUCGGGAACUCUGAGACAGGUGCUGCAUGGCUGUCGUCAGCUCGUGUUGUGAAAUGGUGGAUUAACUCCCGCAACGAGCGCAACCCUUAUCCUUUGUUGC